GGUCUGAAGCUAAUACCUGCCACUGUCUGAUUGGUAUUUCAUUAGGAAUCAUGGGUUCCUUGGUAUUUGAAUUAUGUUGAACCAGGCAAGUACUCCAUCUUUCGAUCAUGUGUUCUAUCUGCUUACACAUUUCUAGCCAGAAUAACAUUUCGUGCUCUUAGCUUAGACUUCUCAGCGUGUGCGCAUAUCUCAGGUCAGAUAUGACUAUUUUCUUAUCUUCACUGGUCAAUGAAAGUUUGUCUUAAAAGUCAAUAAUGUAUGUGGGAAAUUGUCUCCUCUUUGCAGGCCAUCCAUCCAAGAUCAUCUAUCUGAGCUGCUGAAAACUGCCUCGGUACGGAUCUGUUGGAGCUUUGUGUCACUGACUGUAUUUCUGCAAAUUCCUGUUCCGUGUCACAUGGCUUAUGCAAGACUGAAUCCAUAAAGAUGCUGUAACCAUAAAGUUACCAGGACAACACACCUGGAGUGACCGAGAGCAGGAUGAAGAAAGAAUCGGACAAGAAAAUAUCAACUGGUGCCCAUGAGGAGACAUAUUGUUCUUGGACCUGCUUUUUCUGUUUAGUAAUAAGUGGUUUUAUGUGGUUACAUAAAAGUAAUUUAAUAUUCAAUCCACAAGCUAAAUUUCCUACAUUUUCUUAAAAGGGUAGUUGACCCAAAAAGGAAAAUUCUGUCAUUUACACAAACAGUUUGGUUACCAACAUUUCUCACAAUAUCUGCCUUCCUGUUUAUCAGAACAAAGAAAUUUAUGCGGGUUUGUAACAACAUGAGAGUGUGUAAAUGAUGACAUAAUUUUCAUUAUUGGGUGAAGUACCCCUUUAACAUUUUUAUACACAGGGGUAGGGGUGUGCAGCGGAGUCAGCAUUUGUAUCUGUAACAGUCUCAAAAUUAUUUGUAUCUGUAUUUGUAUUCGGAUUAAACCGGAAGUGGGUGGGUUGACAACUCAUAUUACAUUAAAAUGGCAUUUUAAAUGCAUUUUUGCUUUUUAUUAUAAUUAUAACUUAAAUAACUGUAAAUAUUUAUUCAAAAUAAUAAUACAAAAUUUUAAUCAAAAAGACAAAUAACUUGAUUCUCGUUAGUAAUACUCAUGGAAAGCAAACAACUCAUUUUUAAAGCCUCAUACAGCUUGUGCUAUGCAUCAUUGAAUUGUAGCAUUAAAAUAACAAACUUGAAAGCACGUUGACAAAACUGUAGGGUAGAUCACCUUUAAAUGUUUAUUGUGCCUGUCAGCACAGUUCCAUGAGACCUAUUCUUUCUAAAUGAGUGCGAUGUUUUCAGAAAAAAAAUAAGUAGCCUACAUUAAUCCCUAGUCUAGCGAUUUAAAUAAAGUAAUUAAACAUCUAAAAUGAUCGUUAUUUGUAAGUUUUCUAAAAGAGUGAAAUAUAACCUAAUACUACUCAUAUAUCCAUGUCUGACAUCUUGGUUUCAGUU